CCCUAGGGAAGGAAUCCAUGCAGCAGAAAAUCAGAUACUUUCAACAGCAGAGUCGACGCUACCCAGAUUCACUUUGGUAAGCAAUCGGUGACAACGGAAAGGACCGGCUUUUCUGUGCACACAUUGCUGGUGCUAAGGUCCAUGCAGUGCAGCCUGCAGCAGCCUGGGCUGGCUCAGCAUUCCGGGCACUCUUCCCUGCCUUGCUCUGACGCUCAGGCUCAGCCAGAGGUAGAUUUGAGUUGGCUGUUUUUCUGCUUAGAGCAGCUCUCCCACCCAGGAUCUGCUUCCCGGUCUUCAUUACAUGCAUCCAUGCCAUCCGCUUAGGCCUUACAGAUUCCUCUUUCUCCCGACGACGGAAGAUAAUCAGGGACCCCAGAACUCUUGACCUCUCAACCCUGACCCCUCUCUUAGCUCUCCAGCUGAGUGUUCGUUAUGAUGUGGGCGGAGGGCAGCAGGGAGAACUCUCUCUGUGUGUCCUGAUCCCUGGGAAAAUGCAUGGCUUGUAGUCAUGCCCUGUGUCUUUCAUGUCCUAUGUGUAUAUGCUAACCACAGACAAGAGACCACCUGAUAAAAAGAAAUCCAUCACAGGACGUGUGAAGGAGGCAGCAACCACGUGGAACUCGUGUCUCGAACACAGUGCAGUCUUCACACCUCAGCGCUGGGCAUCGGGAGGCAGCCUUCAUGUGAUGCUACCCUAUGAGGCCAGCAAGGGCUCCCGGGAAAUGAAAACGGCAGCAGCCGGCACCCAGUCCCAGCAGCAGACAGGAGCAGGUUAAUCCACACCAUGGACACUGUCUAUGCAAAGCGGAUAUUUGGUCCCAGAUGGCUCAACCCUUGGCUAUUACACAUCCUUAAAGCUGACACUGGCAUAGCACAUGGGUAUGUAACACUUAAAGUAUUGCUGCAACCCUUCAGGAAGGAUGUCCUGGAAAGCUGCACACCCCCAGGCGUCAGCCUUCUGACAUCGCAUGAGGAGGGGCUAAAUGACAUUUGGAGACCAUGUGUGCUGAUGUGGUUUGGAUGUGUGUCCCUCCAAAACGUAUGUGAAAUGUGAUCCCCAGUGUUAGAGGGGAGGCCUGGUGGGAGGUACUAGAUCACAGAAGUGAAUCAGUCAUGUCAUGAACAGUUCAGCACCAACCCCUUGAUAUGAGUUAGUUCUCACUCAGUCAGUUCACCUGAGCUCUGGGUGUUUAAACGUCUGGGAACCCCCUCCUCUCCUGCUCCCACUCUUGCCAUGUGAUGCUUUGGCCCCCUUCACCCACCACCACAAUUGGAAGCUUCCUGAGGCCUCACCAGAAGCAGACGCCAGCACCAUACUUCCUGUACAGCCUGCAGAACUGGUUUCAUCUGGAGCCUCUCUGGUGGGUAGUGCCUCCUUGGCUCACUCUUGCCUGUGAGUUUCUCAGACUUUGCUUGAUCCUGGUGACCCUGGCAGUUCUGAAGAGCACUUGUCAGCAGGCAUCCAUUUGACGGCACAGAAGACGGAUGUGACAGGACCCUGGCUCACAAAGAGCUGCUCAGGCCCAGGCUCUGCAGCAGGGCUGUGCCCAAAGCCCCAGCUCCUCCCCGUUGUCCACAUGGCUGGGCCCUGCAUGGGAGGAAAGAGGGGGCAUGAAGACAAACAGCGAGGAAAUUGGGGUUUCGGAGGGCAGGCCUGCCCAGAAUGCAUUCCUAUAAAUUCUGAAGGAAGAGGGUGGGAGAGACCCACCAUUCUGCUUUACAUAUGCAAGGAAUACGUGAGGAGCCUGAAUUCCUAGGAAAGGUGAGACAUCGGGGCAGAUACCGGCCCAUUCGCCAUGCUCCUUUCUCGCUGUGGGUGAAGAGAAGACGGUGAUGGACACUCUGGCUUCCGCUGCAGGAGCUCCACAGCCAGGGAACCCCUCUGCUCCCUUCGCCGUGUGAAAUCGCAUCUAGCUCCUCCACCGCAGAGGCACCGGGGCAGCACUGGAAACACAGCCCGAGGGUAACUCAAAAACCCAGGGCCGCUUUCAUAUACGCCUGAGGUUUACAACCACCCUGUAAAAUGCAGGGGGUGGCUCCUUCCACUGAAGUUACUUAUUCCUACAGAUGAGUCAAAACGGCACUGAAACAACAUAUCUUCCCUUCUUUCGUUCCCCUGAAAAAAAUCCCAAACCAUGGUCCUUUUCCCACUUACUCUGCUUAUCCUCCCAAGCCAGGAGCUGAAAUGGCCCUUUUUUCAAGCCUGAUUUGCUUAAUCUUCAAUUUUAGCCCAUGGAGUCAUUCAUGGGAGCUGAUGCAACCACAUCAACACCCCCUGAGCCGGGGUUUUUCAACCACAGCACCCCAACAUUCUUUGUGUCUCCCCAGUUCUAGGAGCAGUCAGUGCAGAUAGGAGCAGCACAGCAAUGACACCACACCCACAAAACCGGGCAAACAUAAUGAAUAAGAGAACUAAAAGUGAACGCGGCAGCAGCUUUACAUCUCAGUGCCAAUUUGAGAUUGGUAUUGCC
rnacentral:lncRNA from 1 species